GAAUUUAAAGACUUAGACCCAUAAACUUACAGAUACAAAAUGGACUUUUGCUCAUAUUAGGUGUAAGGGUGAGUUUUAGAUUAGGGGAUUUAUACAGUUCGAAAGGGGAUGAUUUAAGGUCCAUUUGUACCAAUUUUCACACAUGCCAAUCGAUCAGGGGCGUUGCAUUAAGAAUUUAAAGACUUAGACCCAUAAACUUACAGAUACAAAAUGGACUUUUGCUCAUAUUAGGUGUAAGGGUGAGUUUUAGAUUAGGGGAUUUAUACAGUUCGAAAGGGGAUGAUUUAAGGUCCAUUUGUACCAAUUUUCACACAUGCCAAUCGAUCAGGGGCGUUGCAUUAAGAAUUUAAAGACUUAGACCCAUAAACUUACAGAUACAAAAUGGACUUUUGCUCAUAUUAGGUGUAAGGGUGAGUUUUAGAUUAGGGGAUUUAUACAGUUCGAAAGGGGAUGAUUUAAGGUCCAUUUGUACCAAUUUUCACACAUGCCAAUCGAUCAGGGGCGUUGCAUUAAGAAUUUAAAGACUUAGACCCAUAAACUUACAGAUACAAAAUGGACUUUUGCUCAUAAUAGGCGUAAGGGUGAGUUUUAGAUUAGGGGACUUAUACAGUUCGAAAGGGGAUGAUUUAAGGUCCAUUUCUACCAAUUUUCAUAAAUGCCAAUCGAUCAGGGGCGUUGCAUUAAGAAUUUAAAGACUUAGACCCAUAAACUUACAGAUACAAAAUGGACUUUUGCUCAUAUUAGGUGUAAGGGUGAGUUUUAGAUUAGGGGACUUAUACAGUUCGAAAGGGGAUGAUUUAAGGUCCAUUUCUACCAAUUUUCAUAAAUGCCAAUCGAUCAGGGGCGUUGCAUUAAGAAUUUAAAGACUUAGACCCAUAAACUUACAGAUACAAAAUGGACUUUUGCUCAUAUUAGGUGUAAGGGUGAGUUUUAGAUUAGGGGACUUAUACAGUUCGAAAGGGGAUGAUUUAAGGUCCAUUUCUACCAAUUUUCAUAAAUGCCAAUCGAUCAGGGGCGUUGCAUUAAGAAUUUAAAGACUUAGACCCAUAAACUUACAGAUACAAAAUGGACUUUUGCUCAUAUUAGGUGUAAGGGUGAGUUUUAGAUUAGGGGACUUAUACAGUUCGAAAGGGGAUGAUUUAAGGUCCAUUUCUACCAAUUUUCAUAAAUGCCAAUCGAUCAGGGGCGUUGCAUUAAGAAUUUAAAGACUUAG